AGGAAACCAUAAGAAAGAGCAUUGCCCUUUAAAGUAAUUAUUUUGUUCAACCUAUUUCACAAUAUGCUGAAAGAGCCUACUAUAUUGCUCAAUAUUUACUUUAUAGAUGCAUUCAACUUUUACCCAAGUUCAAUACCAGAUCCUCAAAGGAUUUAUAGGUAGCAUUUAAGGAAUGAAUCAGCUACUUGGAUACCAGAAGGCCCUGAGAAGAACCAAGCCAGAAUUAAAGAAGAAUGUUUUCGUUAGCCUAAUUACAUAUUUCAAAGGUCAAAUGAUUGUAUUUAAUGUUGUUUAUUGUCAUCAUAAACCUUGUCAUCAUCAACUUAAGGCUUGUAGGUCAUACUGCCCAAACAGACAGACAAGCAGAGAAGUUAGCUGAACUAAAGGAACUGUGAGACUGGAUGUUAAGUACUUAUCUUGCAAUCAUGAAAAUUGGCACAAGUCCAGAAAAUAAUUUGUGUUGCUCCAAAGUGAGAUGGAAAUAUAUUCAACUUUUACAAUAUGUUUUAAGUUUCUGAUGGUAUUAAUGUUGGUUUUUCCUUGUUCAAAGGAAGACGUUUAUAUUUCUGAGAAUUAAAACAUCAAAAGCAGCCAUUAAUGUGAUGUUUCCUUAAAUUCACAAAAGAAGAAUCAAAUAAUGUUUAUAUGAGGGGGUACUGAAAAAUGUGUACAAAGUAUUCUUGGAGCACAAAUGAGAGACUUCAACUCUUUCUCAAACAUCAGUGAUGAUUUUACAGAGAAGACAUUUGUGUUGCAUUAAAAGAAGGAAUUUACAAAGUAGAGAAGAGGUGAAAGCAAGAAGGGUGAUGUGGAAGAGCCAACUGAGGAAGGACAGAGGUCUCAGCGUGGAAGGAGUACAGGAAAUGAUGAAGAUAUAGCGGGUACAUGUGCAGGUUUGUUACAUGGGAAUAUUGCAUGAUGCUGAAGUUUGGAAUAUGUAUCCCAUCACCCAAUUGGUGAGCUUAGUACAUGAUGCUGCACUACUUGUUACCGUGGCCUAUUGUAUAAUUACAUUGGAACCUUUUUGAUACCUAUUCAAGUGAGUAUUUCCCUCUUGUUGCCUGAAAUUUCUUUUCUGCACUAGGUAAAUGAGCCAAUAAAGUAUUUCUUAAAACAUUGCCGUUACCAUGGAAAUAAGGGUUUCACAUUACUCUUGUCUAUGUAUGUUGACUUUAUUUUGGGUCAUGUAGUUGGGAGAUAGCUCUCAGAGUUUCAUGGUAUCCUAAAAGCAUUU
rnacentral:lncRNA from 1 species